rnacentral:lncRNA from 1 species
GGUAAAAUCCCUUGAAAAGGGCAACGAUCAUAUUAGCAUAAAGCCACAUAGCAUCAAAUGUCAAUCUUGUUUGCAAUCUUUAUAAAGAUAAACCGACAAUGUUUUAACCUUCAGAGGCAACAAAUAGGGAAAUGUCUAUAAAAUAAACUGACAAUGCUUUCAUCUCAUAGGCAACAAUUAGGGAACAAUUCCGAGGCAACAAUGUUCGUAAGAUAAACCGACAGUGCUAUAAUCUCAGAGGCAACAAUGCAUAUAAGAUAAACCGACAAUGCUUUAUUCUCAGAUGCAACAAUUAGGGAACAAUUCCGAGACAACAAUGCUUAUAAGAUAAACCGACAAUGCUAUAGUCUCAGAGGCAACAAUUAGGGAACAAUUCCGAGGCAACACUUUCAAUAGUUUCCCCGCACACUACUGCAUCAAUUAGUUUGUUAUUGGAACCUAAAGAAAGGCAAAAAAUCAUUUGAGUGUUGAAAUUCCCGGGAUGGCAACAUCUAAGCAACCUUUUAGGGAUUAUUUACGACAAGCAUUUUUGAUACUUUAAGUUACCCUUAUUUUUAUAUGAAAUCAAUUGGCAACCUUGACUUAAUUGUUACAUUGUAACAAUCAGAAAUUGUGGGACUGAUGAGAAAUCCCUCGGAUUCUAGCCUGGACAGCAUGUCAUUUAACCCCAAGAGAGGUAGAGUACCAAUUAGGGUUGGGCACGGUCCUAAACCGGCACCCAUAUAUCGAAGCCUGAGCCCGGACUGACAUGUGUGAAGACGGGCCGGUCUCAACCUUAAAAAUUUUCGAGACCGGCAAAAGCCCGGACCGCCAUAAACGGGGCCGGUCUUGCCAGUUUUUAGUCUUUCUUUCGAUGAAGUGCGACUCAUCGACGUUUAGGCUUUCCAAACAGAAAUCAAGCUUUCCAAACACCAUCUCAAGUCGAUCAAUAUGACUGAUUGAAAGCUCCAUCUCUUCAGAUCCAACCCUCUCCUUCCUCGCCACUGAUAAUUGAAAUCAAACAAACUACAGAGGAGAUGGAAGGCCACCACAAAGGAGAUGGAAGCUGAGAGAUGCAUCACCAUACUAGAGGCAAACUGAAGCGGAAAGGGAAUGAGAGAUCGGAAAUCAUACCAGAGGCGGUGGGCAACUUGGUGAUUAUGGUCGAAGGCGGACGAUGGUGAGGUGUCGAUGGCGAGGAAGAGGUGACGACGUAAAGAUAGACUAGAGAGGCAGAAGCGACGAAUCCGACGAUGUAUAAGCUAGAGAGGUUGGGGAGACUUGGAAUUACCCAAGUCUGAGAAAGAGUGUGAGGCCGGCGACUUUGAGGUAGUUCUAAUUCUAUGGUUGAGGUCGAUCUGAGAUGUUUAGGUUUAGGUGUUUAGUCUUUAUUCUUUAAGGUUUCGAUUCUGUGUGGUUGAGUGUAAGAAUAGGAAUAUGGGAUAGCUGUAAUUAUACAAUAAUUGUAGGACUUCGGGCUUUCGAGCCUUAACAUUUUCUACAUUUGAGGGACCGGGACCGGCCCGUGUAUAACAAGGCCCGGCCCGGACAUGACAAAAACAUUCAAGAGCCCGUUAAAAAGCUCGGCCCGGCCCGGUCGGGCCGGCCGGUCCGGUUCGGUUUUUUUUGUUCUUCGGUUUUUAUGCCCACCUUUAGUACCAAUGUUUAUGUUAAUGUAUUCACAUAGAUUAAUUAUAUCAUAUAAAUGUAUUCUCUAUGAAACAGAUACAAAGUAGAGACACCUCAGUUUUAUCAUAUCAUGUAAAUGUGUUCUCUAUAAAAGCAAACCCAGGCUCUAAUCCAGAUUAUAUACAUAUUGAUAAUUAAAUAGGGAAAUUAUAUCAUGUAAAUGUGUUCUCUUCUCUAUGAAACAGAUACAAAGUAGAGACACCUCAGUUUUAUCAUAUCAUGUAAAUGUGUUCUCUAUAAAAGCAAACCCAGGCUCUAAUCCAGAUUAUAUACAUAUUGAUAAUCAAAUAGGGAAAUCAUAUCAUGUAAAUGUGUUCUCUAUUAAGCAGAUCAAGGCUCUAAUCCAGAUUAUAACAAAUUGAUAAUCAAAUAGCAAAACUAUAAAAUAUCUGAAACCCACAAUCCAAAACCCACCACAGCUCAUAUGUGAAAUUGAGUUGAGCAAAGAUCAUAUCAUGUAAAUCUAU